rnacentral:lncRNA from 1 species
AAUACAAAUUCUAUGUCAGCAGAAGCAAAAGUUUGGAAACAUCAGCAUAACUUAUUUUUCCGUUCAAAUUGAUAUACACAAUACAUCAGCAUAUCUACAGGGCAAACCUUGGAAUGCUUGGACAUGAAUCUCUGUGACAAGACAUAUCUUGGAAUGUAGCCGAUAAAGCAAAGUCUCGGUAACAGAAGGAUCGCUUAGCCCUAUACUUGACCAAUAUGAUGGCUCAUGUUCAGUAAUAUCCCUAGGCUCCAACGUAUUUCUAAGGCGUUCUCUUAUGUUAUCAUUUGUGCUGGAUGCACAGAUGGCUUGUGAGAUGCAGUUGUUCAUAGGAAUUAGACCAAAAGCUAGGAGUGCAUAGACUCUAUGAUUUUGAUAGAAACAGGGUGCAGAAUGUGGGCUUUGAUUAUGGGCCUAAGCCAAGGGUGUGGAAGGUUUAUAAGAGGAAAAAGACAAAAGGAAAGGGGAAUGAUGACGUGUAGAUAUUAUCGUGGCAGAAAAAGGUAUAUAAGGAAGUGAGUGGAGGCAGAGAUGGGUAGCCAAGAAUUCUGUUAUGAUUUUGUGGGGUCACCUCUAGGUGAUUUGGGCAGAGGCAUACUGCUUCUUAGGGCUGGUAUCCACUACCAGUUGUUUGCUCUUUUUCUCUUCCCAAUACAUGUAAUUGUGAAUCCUUCAUUGAAUACAAUGGCAUUGCUGUAUCCUUUCUCUUCUUUUUCUUUCUCAAAAUCAUAUUAGCUGUUAUAUUAUCCUAUCAAUUGGUCCGACUGCGGAUCAAACACACUGCCAAGAAGUUGUAGAUGCAAGGAAACCUAAGAUGGGCGAUCGGAUUGACGCUUUGAGGCACAGGUAGGAUAGUAACGACGACGCUGCAAGAGCUGCGCUACAAAUGCAGAACCACGCUCACAAAUGCAACAACAGAGCCUGAUCUGACGGAGCUGAGUAACAGGUGGAAAAAAGGUAGUGACUCAAGGAAGAACUCUGAGGGUAACUCAUCACAGAGUGAGUCUCGCCUUGCAGGGAAGAGGUGAAGCUUCCGCUGUUUAUGAGAGAGGACGGCUCGCGGAAUCGGGUCGAGACAAUCGUGUGACAAUCUGCAUGAAUGGCAACAAAAGCAUCUGAUGAUAUGGCUGUAAAUUAGCGCGUUAAGCAUGGAAGGCAACCAUCCAUGGUUCAACCUUUUGAAGGAAACGAAGAUGAGUUAUCAUGGAGAAGUUGAAACGGGCGCUUAUCGCACGAUACGGAGGAAGGGUUGAGAAUCCGUUUGAAGAAUUGUCUACUCUUAGACAGAAGGGAAGUUGGAAGAGUUCGUGAAGCAUUCGAGUUGUGUCGUCGCAGUGGAAGACUCCGAAGACAAUACCUGGGAUAUUUCAUGAGUGGUCUGAAACCGCAGAUUAGGAGGAGAGUUCGAACCUUGAAUCCUCAAAUCGUAUGCAGAUGAGAGGAUUGCGAAAGACGUGGAAACGAAUUGAAGGAGGAAGAUGACGAUGACGAGCGGUGGUCAAACCCGGGGCAGAAAACGGGUUCCAGCGGAUCUAAUUGCAAAUCACUUCGUCAUCGCAUCAACAGCUCGCAAGAAGUGAGAAACCCACGCUUCUGGGUCGUCGGAGAGAUGGAAGGUGUACGAAGCUUGCACAAUGAUGAGAUGGGGAAAGAAGGGCAAAGGGGUUAUGCUCAAUGUGUGGAGGCAAGUAUCAUCCUACCCAACACAAGUGCCCUGAGAGAACCUUGCGGUUCUGAUCUUGGUGAGGAGAAGAGAUGAACGAGGAAGGGAACGUGACGAUGGAAGAGGUGGCAAAGGAAAGUGAAGAGGAAAUCGAAGUUGAAUGUAAGUUGAUGGGAGUUCUGGGAGUAGGGGGAGCACCAUACUAUGAAGGUGAAGGUAAAAUUGAGAACGUAGAUUUUGGUGUUGAUUGAUAGUGGGGCAGUCAUAAUUCAUUUCACCUAAAGUAACUACUGCUUUAGGCUUAAUGUCACUCCUGUAACUGCAAAAAAUAUUAAGUUGGUGAUGGUCACAUGGUCAUAACAAAAGGGUGUGCAAAGGGUUAGUAUGAAGAUGGAGAAGAUAAGAUUAUAUUGAUGCUUUGGUUGGAGUUAGGGGGGUCGGACAGGUGUUGGGUGUUUCUGCUGAGUACUUAGGGAAAGUGGUAAUGAUUGGAAAACAUUGACGAUGCAAUUUUUCCAUGGAACAGUUGGUAAAGCUUCAAGGGCAGGAAAUAGGAAUGUGAGGCAGUGGUAUCUGAACACUUUCCUAGAAAACAUUCCAACGGGGCAGGAACAGAUGGUGGUGGUCACAGUUUCAGGCGAUAGAAGCAGAGGAUUCUGCAGUCUCACAUGGAGUGAAUGAUGUAUUGAAGGAGUUUCCUGAUGUUUUACAGAUCAGAUUCGACUACCUCCUGAGAGACACAGGUGCAUCGAUUCAAUUGUAUCCGGAGCAUGGUCCUAUCAAUGUUAGGCCUAUAUAAUCUCCAUCAUUCAGAAAGAAGAGAUGAGAAGCAAGUGGGUGAAUUGUUGGAGGCAGGAAUCAUCAGACCAAGCAUGAGCCUUAUCUAGCCCCAGUGAUAUUGGUCAAAAAGAAAGACAAGAGCUGGAGGAUGUGUGUGGAUUAUAGGGCUCUCAACAAUGCACAGUACCAGAUAAGUAUCCCAUUCCCAUAGUAGACGAGUUGUUAGAUGGGCUGUAUGGGGCUACUAUGUUCUAAGAUCGAUUUAAAAUCGGGGUAUCACCAAAUUAGGCGAGUAGUUGACGUUCCGAAAACAGCUUUUAAACUCACAAUGGUCACAUGAGUACUUAGUCAUGCCCUUUGGACUGAUGAAUGCCCGCUACCUUCCAAGCCACCAUGAAUGAUCUUUAGACCAUAUUUGAGAAAUUAUUUUUGGUUUUCUUCGAUGACCUAAAUAUAGCAAGACAUUAAUGAACACCAACAACAUUUAAGCUGGUAUAUCGAGCCUAGCAGCCCAUUGCUUGUGGCAAAUCAAUCAAAGUGCAAGUUGGCUGUACUCAAUUGACUACCUUGGACAUAUAAUUCAGGAGAAGGAGUCCGGUAUCCGGAGAAGGUGAGGUGUAUCCUUGUUGGCCUGAACCAAAAAAAUGUAGGGAGUGCGCGGAUUUAGGUCUCACGGGAUAUAACCGAAAUUCGUUAAGGACUAUGGCAAGAUAGCAAAACCCCUCACGGAAUUGACUAAGAAGACAUUUAAUUGGGGAAUGGAGGCCAAAGCUUCAAUGACUGCUAAGAGAAUAUGAAAUCUCCUCCUGUCUUGAUGCUUCCUAAUUUUGAGUUACCUUUUGAAGUGGAGGUGAUGCUGCGGGCAGAGGUAUAGUUGUUUUAUGAGAGCAGAGACAUGACUGUAGCUUUCUCAGCAAGGCAUUAUCUGAGGGCAAUUUGGUAAAAUCGGAUAUGAAAAGGAAUUGAGGCCUUAGUCUUAUGCAUUCAACUUGGAGACAUUACUUGUUGGCAGAGGAGUUUGUAGUUUAUACAGAUCACAAAGCUGAAGCUUUCUACAGCGAGAACUCCUCUCCUGAUCAACAAUGUUGGCUGCCAAAUUUGGGCUAUCAGAAGUUAGAUACAAACGCAGGGACGGAAAUAGGGCAGCAAGAUGCCUUAUCCAGAUGCUAUGAUGAGGGAAAUUUAACACCAUCAUUUCUUAUCCUAUGUGGGCCGAAAGCAGAAAUUGUUGGAGGAGAUAGCCAAUGCCAUAUAUUCAAGAUUGAUAACCGAAGUACAGAGAACCAGAUGGCAGACCUGGUUUUAUGAGAAACAGGGAUGUUUAUUGUAUCAUGGGAGUGGUGAUUUCACCAACAUCACUUCAUACUUGGUGCGAAGAAUUCCACAAUACCCCAGUUGGAGACAUUCAGGUUUCUGAGACAUACAGAGCUGGCUGAUACUUAAUUUUGGUAGGGACAGAAAAGUGUAAGAGAUUAUGAGGUCAUGUGAUGUGUGUCAGAGACAGAAGUACAGUGCUACUACUCCUAGAGGAUGUCAACCACUGCCCGUACCUAAUGCAGUUUGGGAGGAUCUUUCUUAUGACUUCAUCACUUGUUUGCCUAAGUCUAAGGAUUAUGAAGCUGUGUUGGUGUGGUGGACAGAUGUCAAAAUACGCCAUUUUAUUGCUAAAACACCCUUACACUGCAAAAUCCAUGCGAGAUUAUCGUCAAAGAGGUGGUGAGAUUACAUGGAUUCCGAAUUCCCUAAUCAGUGACAGAGACCCUAUUAUUAGCCAUUUUUGGGUGGAACUAUUAAAAUGCAAGGAACCAAACUUAAGAGAGUUCAUCGUACAUCCCGAAACCGACGUCAGACGGAAGUAGUCAAUAGGUGUUUGGAGAGUUACUUGAGUGUUUUUGCUUCUGACACCAAGACGUGGUCGUAUUGGAUACCGUGGCUGAAUUUUGGUACAACACAACUUAUCAUAUCUCUAUGGGAAGUCCCUUUUGAGGUGGUGUAUGGGAGGCAGCCACCUACUCUACUGAAGUUCUUAACUAAUGAAACGAAAGUAGCUGCUGUGGCACUUGAGUUAAGAGAGAAUGAAGCCUUGAAGCAACUCAAGCUGCAUCUGUUGAAAGCUCAAGAGCAGAUGGCAAGGUAUGCCACAAAAGAAGAAGAGAUUUAUGUUUUGACGUUGGAGAAUGGUUUUCUUAAAACUCAGGCCUCAUAGGCAGCAAUCGGUAGUGAAAAGAAUUAAUCAGAAAUUGGCUGCUAGAUUCUAUGGCCUUUUCAGGUGGAAGAGAAAAUUGGAGAAGUCAAUACAAGUUGAAACUUCCAGCGAGUCAAAAAUCCAUCCUGUGUCCCUGUAUCUUUAAUCAAAAGAGCAGUAGGAACAUGAGGUACAGGAGAAACUGCCUAGAGAAUGAGAUAAAUAGGCUGCUGAUGCGUAUCCAGAUAGAUUGUGGUUCUAGAACUGUUUGCAAGGCGAUACUGAAGUGCAGCAGAGCUUGUCCAAUGGAAGAACCGCCAUGAUGAUGACAAUGGAACAAUGAACUUCUAAUUGGGCAAUUUCCUGAAUCUGCCUUGAGGACAAGGUUGUUUCAAGGAGGUGGGAGUUGAUAGAAAUAGGGUGCAGAAUAUGGCUUUGAUUAUGGGCCAUAGCCAAGGGUGGGAAGGUUUAUAAGAGGAAAAAGACAAAAGGAAAG